GGAAUUUGAGAGGUGGUCCAAGCACGUCCAUGCUGAGAGGGCUGAGCCAAUGCUUCCUGAAUCUUUAAGAGCUCUGAAAGGCAGCAGCAGCAGCAGUGGGAGCAUGCAUGUCCAAAAGGUGAGAAGAGCUGAGAGGCCUCUGAACACUCACCAGCUUUCACCAGAAAACCAUUACUGGCUGCAGCAGGUGGUAGCUUGGAAGUAGAUAAAUUAUUUCUCUGAGAAUUAAAAUGAAGUAGUUAAGUACAGUGUUGGUUGGGAUUUACAGAAGUGUGGGGAAAUGAAGUUUAGUACCUUUUGAGGUAUAACCUGCACUAGGCAAGACAGAUUCAAAAUUCCCUUCAAAGGCCAUUUUAAGGAUUGAGCAAAAACUUUCAGUUUUGGCUUGAGUCUGAACUCUGAUCUUUUUGAGAACUGUCGCUACCAAGCUUUGUCAGGAUUGUAACUGCUUCACUACCUAGAUGAAUUCUGACCCCAAAUACUGCUGAAGGGAGUAAUGCUACAUGAGCACUAACUUUUGCACAUUCUUCUUUCACUUAAACAUGUCAGUCUUUAAAUUAUCCACUUUUGUGAUGAGCAAAUAAAUUCCGGAUAUAGAACAUGGAAUAUGUGUAAACACACAUCCUUAGAAAAUGUAAUAGAACAAAUAAAUAAACCAUUGGUUUCUCUGCAGUAGGUUGCCAGCAGGGCAUCCUUUUUAAAAACAGUGUGCAUGUAUGUUGUUUGAUAUGUAUGUGUAUGUCAAUAUAUGGAUUUAUAACUUGAAAACUGGAUUUUAGGAGAAGUUAUCUUUUUCAAGUCAUAACAAAAGUGAAGAAUUGAAAACCAUAGGCAGAGGGGAUGCAUGUGACAGCUGUUAAAAACAUUUACCUGCAUGGAUUAUAUGAGCUAAUUAGCAUUGCCAAGGUCAUGAUGAGUACUUGAAUAACUGUUUAUCCCUAAAGGUGGUUUGUGUGACUGAGCAGAUGUGCAUCAUAUUCAAAGAAAAGCAUACUAAUUUAUAAAUUUUGAAAGAGUAAAAUAGGUAUGCAAUUUCACUGAAAUUCAAGCAUAAUUCAAAAUCCAUGAACAAUUUUUCUUUCAUCUUCUCAGUGGAGCCUGUUAAUAUUCUGGAAAAAAAAAAUCUUAUGAACCUAAAUCUUCAAUGGUUUAAAAUAUCCUGCAGUAUUAGAAUGUUUUCUGUUUAGUUCUUUGCCUCUUAAACUUACAGAAAACUAAAUACAUAAAUUAAAGCAAUGAAAAUACAUCCAAUUUAUCCACUUAAUAUAUACCAAACCAAUUAACCAAUAUAUUUUAUGAAAGAAUAGAUAAUAAAAAUAUUAUAAAGGAAAUCAAGAUAAUUUUUCACCUAGAUUUUCAUGUGUUCCUUGCAUGCCAGAAAGCCAAUGGUAUGUCUAUACUUUCAAAUAUGGCUUUAGGAGCAAAUAUUCUUAAAUCUUUAUCUUCUUUCCACAGAAGUCAUGUAUUACAGAUAACAUGUCCCUCCACAUAUACGCGCAUGUAACCUAGGAUCUAAUUUUUACAUAACAUGUAGGUAAAUUUAUCUUUUUAUUGCUUUAAUAAGUUGGAGACCAAGAGCAUAGUUGCACAUGAGUGAGGGAAGUUUUAUUCUAAGUUUACGAACUGAAAGAUUUAGGCAAAUAUAUGUAUAUCCAUUUUUGUAAGUUGAGAAUAAUAGUUCAUGUUUAUGUAACUACCUGUAAAUAAAUGAUAUUCUAUUUCCAUUAUUUUUGCAAAAACUGAAAAUUAUGAUGCUAUCCAGGCCUGACAUCUAUGUAAUUCAGUACUUUAACUCCAAUGGUAGAAACUUCAUGACAGUCAUGAGAAAAAGUUGCUGAAAACUCCAUGUAACUUAUUACAUAAGUUAAAUUCCACUCUUAUCUCUGUUACUCAUUGCAACAAUUAAACAAAUAAAAAUGUAAUUAAAGGCACAAAAUACAACUUUGCUCCUAAACAUAAUCAGAUUUUAACAGUUUUUCCUGCUAGUCCUGUGAACUGAUAAACUCUUGUAUUCUUGACUUUCUUUGUAAAAAAAUGUCUGAGUUUUCUCUCUGUUCUUUUAAGACAAUAUUAAUUAUUUUCACUAGAUAUUACAGCAAUCUAAACCAGCUAUAUUCUUCACAUAUUUCAGUUAAAAAAUAAUAAUAAAAUAAAGUAGAUAUGUAUUUCUGUUCUCUUCAAGCUAUUUUGUAACUAUUGUGAUAGCAGAGAUCAUAAUGAAAUUUCUCUUAAUAAUGUAAUUACAGUAUCAUGACUUUAUUUUAAGAUACCUGGAGCAUUUUAUGAAAUUCUUGAACAGGAAAGAAUUGUUAAAACAGUUAUUCUAAAAAAAAAAAA
ensembl:lncRNA